AGCCUGAUGCAGCCAUGCCGCGUGUGUGAAGAAGGCCUUCGGGUUGUAAAGCACUUUCAGCGAGGAGGAAAGGUUAACGGUUAAUACCCGUUAGCUGUGACGUUACUCGCAGAAGAAGCACCGGCUAACUUCGUGCCAGCAGCCGCGGUAAUACGAGGGGUGCAAGCGUUAAUCGGAAUUACUGGGCGUAAAGCGUACGCAGGCGGUUUGUUAAGCGAGAUGUGAAAGCCCCGGGCUCAACCUGGGAACUGCAUUUCGAACUGGCAAACUAGAGUCUUGUAGAGGGGGGUAGAAUUUCAGGUGUAGCGGUGAAAUGCGUAGAGAUCUGAAGGAAUACCGGUGGCGAAGGCGGCCCCCUGGACAAAGACUGACGCUCAGGUACGAAAGCGUGGGGAGCAAACAGGAUUAGAUACCCUGGUAGUCCACGCCGUAAACGAUGUCUACUCGGAAUUGGUGUCUUGAACACUGGGUUCUCAAGCUACGCAUUAAGUAGACCGCCUG
rnacentral:rRNA from 1 species